rnacentral:tRNA from 2 species
GGAGCAGUACUCAAACGGCUAAGAGAGCAGUCUUGAAAACUGAUAGGGCGUAGGGAUACGCUGUGUGGGUUCGAAUCCUACCUGCUCCGCCA